rnacentral:tRNA from 1 species
GCCGGUGUGGUGGAAGUGGCAGACGCGUCGGACUCAAAAUCCGAUGGUAGCAAUACCGUGCGGGUUCGACCCCCGCCACCGGCA